rnacentral:rRNA from 1 species
UACAGAGGUCUCAAGCGUUGUUCGGAUUCAUUGGGCGUAAAGGGUGCGUAGGUGGCGCGCUAAGUCAGGUGUGAAAUCUCGGGGCUUAACUCCGAAACUGCAUUCGAUACUGCCGUGCUUGAGGACUGGAGAGGAGACUGGAAUUUACGGUGUAGCGGUGAAAUGCGUAGAUAUCGUAAGGAAGACCAGUGGCGAAGGCGGGUCUCUGGACAGUUCCUGACGUGAGGCACGAAGGUCAGGGGAGCAACCGGGG